AGCAGGCGUAUUGUCUAGGGGAUGGCUGCUCUACUUUUGCACCCUGCUCAAGGAGGAGGAGGUGGAUGUGGAAUAGGAGGUUGAGGAGGCAGUGACCGUGGCGGCGACGACGCAUUCCGAUGUCUGCCCUAUCAACUUUCGAUGUUACUUUCUCUGCCUACCAUGGUGACCACGGGUAACGGGGAAUCAGGGUUCGAUUCUGGAGAGGGAGCCUACCACAUCCAAGGAAGGCAGCAGGCACGCAAAUUACCCACUCCAGACGCGGGGAGGUAGUGACGAUAAAUUGGAAUGAGUGCACUUUAAAUCCUUUAACGAGGAUCUAUUGGAGGGCAAUGCAGAGCGACUGACCCGUGCGUGCUGCAGCUGAAACUCCGCUAUCGCCUGCU